CGGCGGCAGCGUACACAUGCAAGUCGAGCGGAACGAUGGAAGCUUGCUUCCAGGCGUCGAGCGGCGGACGGGUGAGUAAUGCAUAGGAAUCUGCCCGAUAGUGGGGGAUAACCUGGGGAAACUCAGGCUAAUACCGCAUACGUCCUACGGGAGAAAGCAGGGGAUCUUCGGACCUUGCGCUAUCGGAUGAGCCUAUGUCGGAUUAGCUAGUUGGUGAGGUAACGGCUCACCAAGGCGACGAUCCGUAGCUGGUCUGAGAGGAUGAUCAGCCACACUGGGACUGAGACACGGCCCAGACUCCUACGGGAGGCAGCAGUGGGGAAUAUUGGACAAUGGGGGAAACCCUGAUCCAGCCAUGCCGCGUGUGUGAAGAAGGCCUUCGGGUUGUAAAGCACUUUCAGCGAGGAAGAAGGCCUGAGGGCUAAUACCCUUCAGGAAGGACAUCACUCGCAGAAGAAGCACCGGCUAACUCCGUGCCAGCAGCCGCGGUAAUACGGAGGGUGCGAGCGUUAAUCGGAAUUACUGGGCGUAAAGCGCGCGUAGGUGGCUUGAUAAGCCGGUUGUGAAAGCCCCGGGCUCAACCUGGGAACGGCAUCCGGA
rnacentral:rRNA from 1 species